rnacentral:rRNA from 1 species
GAUGAACGCUGGCGGCGUGCCUAAUACAUGCAAGUCGAGCGAACAGAUGAGGAGCUUGCUCCUCCGACGUUAGCGGCGGACGGGUGAGUAACACGUGGAUAACCUACCUAUAAGACUGGGAUAACUUCGGGAAACCGGAGCUAAUACCGGAUAAUAUAUUGAACCGCAUGGUUCAUUAGUGAAAGACGGUUUUGCUGUCACUUAUCGAUGGAUCCGCGCCGCAUUAGCUAGUUGGUAAGGUAACGGCUUACCAAGGCAACGAUGCGUAGCCGACCUGAGAGGGUGAUCGGCCACACUGGAACUGAGACACGGUCCAGACUCCUACGGGAGGCAGCAGUAGGGAAUCUUCCGCAAUGGGCGAAAGCCUGACGGAGCAACGCCGCGUGAGUGAUGAAGGUCUUCGGAUCGUAAAACUCUGUUAUUAGGGAAGAACAAAUGUGUAAGUAACUAUGCACGUCUUGACGGUACCUAAUCAGAAAGCCACGGCUAACUACGUG